rnacentral:rRNA from 1 species
GGAUAACCUACCCUUAGGACCGGGAUAACCUUGGGAAACUGAGGAUAAUACUGGAUAGGCAAUUAUUCCUGGAAUGGUUUUUUGUUUAAAUGUUUUUUCGCCUAAGGAUGGGUCUGCGGCCGAUUAGGUAGUUGGUUAGGUAACGGCUUACCAAGCCAUUGAUCGGUACGGGUUGUGAGAGCAAGAGCCCGGAGAUGGAACCUGAGACAAGGUUCCAGGCCCUACGGGGUGCAGCAGGCGCGAAACCUCCGCAAUGUGAGAAAUCGCGACGGGGGGAUCCCAAGUGCCAUUCUUAACGGGAUGGCUUUUCAUUAGUGUAAAGAGCUUUUGGAAUAAGGGCUGGGCAAGACCGGUGCCAGCCGCCGCGGUAACACCGGCAGCUCUAGUGGUAGCAGUUUUUAUUGGGCCUAAAGCGUCCGUAGCCGGUUUAAUAAGUCUCUGGUGAAAUCCUGUAGCUUAACUGUGGGAAUUGCUGGAGAUACUAUUAGACUUGAGACCGGGAGAGGUUAGAGGUACUCCCAGGGUAGAGGUGAAAUUCUGUAAUCCUGGGAGGACCGCCUGUUGCGAAGGCGUCUAACUGGAACGGUUCUGACGGUGAGGGACGAAAGUUAGGGGCGCGAACCGGAUUAGAUACCCGGGUAGUCCUAACCGUAAACGAUGCGGACUUGGUGUUGGGGUGGCUUUGAGCUGCUCCAGUGCCGAAAGGGAAGCUGUUAAGUCCGCCGCCUGGGAAG